rnacentral:misc_RNA from 1 species
CUGGAUAUGGCACCUUCGAGG